UCGCUGGCUGGGGGGGGAUCUCGCCUAUUUAUAGCGCCUUUGGCUGAGCGGCGGCUCCCUGCCCCGAGCGGCUUGCAGUCUCCUCUCCCACCCAUGUCUCCUCCAUUCAAUCUCGUCACAGUGGAGGGAGGCGCAGCUGGUCCUUUGAGCAGACCCCGGGGUGGAUUUUUGUCACUCACUCUCUCUUCGCUGCCCGCUUUCUAACCGGCCAUAAAAGGGAAUGCAGAUCUCAAGUGGAAGAAGGUACUUUGUUGCUACUGUGGAGGAGUGGCAACAAUUCAUGCAACUCAAGAAGAACAAAGAACAAUUAAGUCCAACCCAGAAAGUUGUUGAAGAGAUGCAUACAUAAAAUGGACUGUGCUGCUGAUCAAUUCGGUUACCUGUUUUAAACAAUGGCAAAGAGACAUAACGGUGGAAUGGCAACUUGCAUUAGGAUAGAUUUUCUUCACUCCUGCAGGUGCAAGG